rnacentral:lncRNA from 1 species
CCUACCUUCCCCACCUAUUCCUGCCCAGCAGCCUCCUGGACCAAGGAGGGCUUCGUCUCCAGUGGCUGCUGGUGAGACAGAUGGAGGGUCCACUCCCAGGACCCGUCACUCUGUCAUUCCUGACUCCCUGGAUUAAACUUGGUGAUCUCAUGCUACCAACCAACUGACAAUGGGACAGACAACCACUCGCACCAUCCCCAAGACCAAUUUUGCUGCUCACAUGCUGAUUGGCUCUUCCCAUUUUGUCUCUUGUUAUUUGAAAUCAAUGACUCAGUGCACUAGGUCAAGACUGAAGAAGUUCCCCUCGGAGGAACUACAACCACUUAUUCUUCAGCUUCAUAUUAUGAAGGCUGAGACAGAACCCUUGGCCUUCCUUUCCACUAUUCCUUCAACUCCAGCAGAUGCCCUGGCUGCUCUACAUGCCCCCUCGACGUGGGGCCACAGGCAGCACGCGGUCAGGCACAUAGGGACUCUUGGAAAGGGCUUGUGGAAGGGGUCCUCACUGCAGGGAGAGGCUCUGUUUUGCACCCCCACUACCCCUAGGACAUAUCCUGGGUAGAUGCUCACUGUCCCAGACUGCAAACCCCAUUUCUUUAUCUGUCGAAACCAUUCAACUGGGAGUGCUGUGAGAGCUGUAACAAGUCGCAUUAAGCACAGCAUCUUCAAGCCCUGCACCAACCAGGCCAGCAAAAGCAGGUCUCAGUGAGAGUCUUCGGAAUGGGAAUCCUUGUGCCACCUCUGGCAGAGCCCCAGCCCAAGGUAUCCGUUUGGAUGUUUAAAGAAGGAAGCAAAUUAACAUCGUUCCCGGUGCUCACAAGAAAGCCGGCUGAUCGUAAAGGACAUCCAGGCAGGCCCGGGAAGAAGCCAGAGUAAAGUCGAG